ACGGCGAGUGAACAGGGAGAAGCCCAAAUUUGUAAUCUGGCACUUUUUACGAGUGUCCGAGUUGUAAUUUGUAGAGCUGUUAUCCGUACUGGACCAUGUACAAGUCUGUUGAAAAGCAGCAUCGUUGAAGGUGAAAAUCCUGUAGAUGAUAUGGACUACCAGUAUAUUUGUGAUACGGUUUCUAAGAGUCGAGUUGUUUGGGAAUGCAGCUCAAAGUGGGUGGUAAAUUCCAUCUAAGGCUAAAUAUAAGUGAGAGACCGAUAGCAAACAAGUACCGUGAGGGAAAGAUGAAAAGAACUUUGAAAAUAGAGUUAACAGUACGUGAAAUUGCUGAAAGGGAAACGUUUGAAGUUAGUUUUGUAUUCGUCGGAUCAGCUUCGCAAGGAGUGUAUUCUGAUGAUAAGCAAGUCAACAUCAGUCUAUGAGUGUCGGAGAAGGGUUUUGAGAACGUAGCAAUUUAGUUGUGUUAUAGCUUGAGACUUGGAUACGGUGCUUUGGAUUGAGGAACGCGUAGUAAGCUUUGAGCGGAUUCGAAAGGAUCUCCUUACUAUGGAUGUUGGUGAAAUAACUUUAAGCGACCCGUCUU
rnacentral:rRNA from 1 species